rnacentral:misc_RNA from 1 species
AAAUACGAAAAGUAAUAUGAAUUGCAGAAACGAAUCAUCAACUAUUUGAACGCACAUUGCGCUCCUUGGUAUUCCUUGGAGCAUGCCUGUUUGAGUAUCAUGAAAUCUUCAAAGUAAAUCUUUUGUUAACUCAAUUGGUUUCUACUUUGGUAUUGGAGGUCUUUGCAGCUUCACACCUGCUCCUCUUUGUUCAUUAGCUGGAUCUCAGUGUUAUGCUUGGUUCCACUCGGCGUGAUAAGUUAUCUAUCGCUGAGGACACUGUAAAAGGUGGCCAAGGUAAAUGCAGAUGAACCGCUUCUAAUAGUCCAUUGACUUGGACAAUACUUUUAUGAUCUGAUCUCAAAUCAGGUAGGACUACCCGCUGAACUUAAGC